GAUUACGGCCAUACCACCUUGGGCACGCCCGAUCUCGUCUGAUCUCGGAAGUUUAGCAGGGUCGGGCCUGGUUAGUACUUGGAUGGGUGACCCCCUGGGAAUACCAGGUGCUGUAAGCA
rnacentral:rRNA from 1 species